GGGGUGUGCUCAGAGCAGGGGGCCUGAAGAGUGGCUCCUCUGUUUACAACACACCCAACAGGAAUCUCAGGUCAUUGUGACAAAGGGCGGCAGCACAGAACUUGGGGCCUCCCUACAAACAAAUGCCCUACACUU
rnacentral:snoRNA from 1 species